rnacentral:SRP_RNA from 1 species
GCUGGGCACGGUGGUGCCUGACUGUAGUCCCAGCUACACGGGAGGCUGAGGCUGGAGGAUCGCUUGAGUUCAAGAGUUUUGGGCUGUAGUGCACUAUGCCAAUUGGGUGUCUACACCAAGUUGGGCAUCAAUAUGGUGACCUCCCAGGAGUGGGGGACCACCAGGUUGCCUAAGGAGGGGUGAACUGGCCCAGGUCAGAAAAGAAGCAGGUCAAAACUCCCAUGCUGAUCAGUAGUGGGAUCAUGCCUGUGAAUAACCACUGCACUCCAGCCUGGGCAACAUAGCGAGACCUUGUCUCUA